GAUGAACGCUGGCGGCGUGCUUAACACAUGCAAGUCGAACGAAGCACCUUGAUUUGAUUCUUCGGAUGAAGAUCUUGGUGACUGAGUGGCGGACGGGUGAGUAACGCGUGGGUAACCUGCCUCAUACAGGGGGAUAACAGUUAGAAAUGACUGCUAAUACCGCAUAAGACCACAGCACCGCAUGGUGCAGGGGUAAAAACUCCGGUGGUAUGAGAUGGACCCGCGUCUGAUUAGGUAGUUGGUGGGGUAACGGCCUACCAAGCCGACGAUCAGUAGCCGACCUGAGAGGGUGACCGGCCACAUUGGGACUGAGACACGGCCCAAACUCCUACGGGAGGCAGCAGUGGGGAAUAUUGCACAAUGGGGGAAACCCUGAUGCAGCGACGCCGCGUGAGCGAUGAAGUAUUUCGGUAUGUAAAGCUCUAUCAGCAGGGAAGAAAAUGACGGUACCUGACUAAGAAGCACCGGCUAAAUACGUGCCAGCAGCCGCGGUAAUACGUAUGGUGCAAGCGUUAUCCGGAUUUACUGGGUGUAAAGGGAGCGUAGACGGAGUGGCAAGUCUGAUGUGAAAACCCGGGGCUCAACCCCGGGACUGCAUUGGAAACUGUCAAUCUAGAGUACCGGAGAGGUAAGCGGAAUUCCUAGUGUAGCGGUGAAAUGCGUAGAUAUUAGGAGGAACACCAGUGGCGAAGGCGGCUUACUGGACGGUAACUGACGUUGAGGCUCGAAAGCGUGGGGAGCAUACAAGAUUAGAUUCCCUGGUAGUCCACUCCGUAAACGAUGACUAUUAGGUGUCGGGCAGCAAAGCUGUACGGUUCCGCAGCCAAACGCAAUAAGUAGUCCUCCUGGGGAGUACAUUCGCAAGAAUGAAACUCAAAGGAAUAGACGGGGACCCGCACAAGCGGUGGAGCAUGUGGUUUAAUUUGAAGCAACGCGAAGAACCACACCUGCUCUUGACAUCUCCUCUGACCGGCAAGUAAUGUUGCCUUUCCUUCGGGACAGGGAUGACAGGUGGUGCAUGGUUGUCGUCAGCUCGUGUCGUGAGAUGUUGGGUUAAGUCCCGCAACGAGCGCAACCCCUAUCUUUAGUAGCCAGCGGUUCGGCCGGGCACUCUAGAGAGACUGCCAGGGAUAACCUGGAGGAAGGUGGGGAUGACGUCAAAUCAUCAUGCCCCUUAUGAGCAGGGCUACACACGUGCUACAAUGGCGUAAACAAAGGGAGGCAGAACCGCGAGGUCGAGCAAAUCCCAAAAAUAACGUCUCAGUUCGGAUUGUAGUCUGCAACUCGACUACAUGAAGCUGGAAUCGCUAGUAAUCUGCGAAUCAGAAUGUCGC
rnacentral:rRNA from 1 species